rnacentral:ncRNA from 1 species
GUGAAAUGAGUAGGAAUACUAUCCCUUAGAGGGUGAAAGGCCCGUAGCUUCCCACAAUUGUAGAAAAUGAUGAUUCUCUGUAGAGUCGUGUUCUUUGAGAUUGGAGCACAAAUAUGUGUGAUACAUUUCACAUAAAGCUAAAUAUUUGUAGGAAACCGAUAGUAUACAAGUACCGUGAGGGAAAGAUGAAAUAGUACUCAGGAAUGAGAUUUAAAUAAUACCUGAAAUCGUUAAGAUGGAACGGAUUGAGAGAGAAAUAACGUAAGAAUAAAUUUAUUUCCUUACUUGCAUGAGUAGGUUUUAACCUUUAUCUUAUUAAAAGAAGCAUCAGUGAACUUUUAGGGUUAUUAAAAUAUGGCCAUGUAUCCUUUACAAAUAUAAUAUAUGAGUAAAAGGAUUUCGUGUCACUUCCGCUAAAAUGGUUGUAUAACGAGCUAUUUUUAUAAUCCGGUUUACUGAGGUUUAUUAAAAUCUUUGGGCCCUUUGCCCAUAUUGAUUUGAGUUGCUUCUAAAAAGCACUUACUUAACCCACUCGUCUUGAAACACGGACCAAGGAGUCUAACAAAUGUGCGAGCGUAUAUAUGUUUUUAACUAUAAUAAAAGUAU